UAGCUCUUUAACAAUUUGGAAAGCUGACUAGUAAAUUCAAUCGAAUGAUUGAUUUAUUUUAAGUUUUUAUCGAAAGAUAAAAACGAGUUCUCAAAACAAACACAUUCAAGUGUCUUGUAUUUUUUGUCUUCACUUUUUAAAAGUGAAAGCAAAUAGUGAGUCCGGCGAAACAACGUCUAUCACAACUCAGAUAGACAACCUUGGUUGUUUGAACAUACGAAACCUCUUGGGGUUGUAU
rnacentral:misc_RNA from 1 species